rnacentral:lncRNA from 1 species
GCCGAUACAUACAACACAAGAAGAAACCAUUUCUGGUGAUGUCAAAGUGAUGGUCUACUCUCUUCUUGAGUGAAAAUUGAUGUUCAAUAUUACAAGUGAUUUCAAGAAUGAGCUAACUAAGAAAAUAAGACUAAGGGUUCCUACUUAUAGUCUAUUGCAAAAGAGAUGGGAAAUGACACAUUUACCCUUAAUGAAGGGGGUGGAUUUGGAGUGUAUAAAUGGGGCUGACUUGUAGUGUUUUUAAGACACUUAAGGAAUGUCUUCACACUUUAAUACAUACACUUCCUUGGAUGAACUUAAGACAUGCUCAACUACGUCUAUUUUCAUAAACGCGCCUUGUAGUCUUUGUAGUUCCCGAGCUUGGACAAGGCUUUGAAAAAGGCUUCAAAGAUCUUUAAUUUCUUUACAAAUCCUAAACGUGGACUUUAACAAAAACUUGUAAUCCUUGUGCUCUUCAUGCUUGUAUCAUCCUCUCCACCUUGAAAGGAAUUUAUCCUCAAAUUUGCACCUUACAAAACCAAAGAGAGGGAAAACAUACACAUAAUCCUCAUGAUAUGAGGGUUAGU